UCGAACGUAGUGCACGGUGCACGCCCGGUCCUUAUGAUUUGAUCUUCAUUUCGUGAUGCCGGGAGCCUGGGUUCGACUCCCAGCGUCCGAA